CAGCCGCCGCGGUAAAACGUAGGUCCCGAGCGUUGUCCGGAUUUAUUGGGCGUAAAGCGAGCGCAGGCGGUUAGAUAAGUCUGAAGUUAAAGGCUGUGGCUUAACCAUAGUACGCUUUGGAAACUGUUUAACUUGAGUGCAAGAGGGGAGAGUGGAAUUCCAUAUGUAGCGGUGAAAUGCGUAGAUAUAUGGAGGAACACCGGUGGCGAAAGCGGCUCUCUGGCUUGUAACUGACACUGAGAGACGAAAGCUAGGGGAGCAAAUGGGAUUAGAUACCCCGGUAGUCCCUGUCUCUUAUACA
rnacentral:rRNA from 1 species